AAUAUUAGAGAACAUUUGCAAAAUGAAAUCUGAAUUGACAGAACGGGACAUUCAUGAUACAAAUGUAAUUCCAAAAGAAGGUACUCCUUUAAAUCAGGGAACACACAAUUGGUUUUGAAUAUCAGAAGCUUACAGUGCUUUGGAAUCUACUGGGCAAAAAUAUUGUCUUGCAAUUCAUCUCAAAUAGGAGUAUGUGGAAACUGUGGUCAGCUCCAAAACAUUUCACCUACAGAAAGUAAAAAAUUUAAUUGCACAAAUCGAAAUAAGGUAUAUGCCCAGCAAACACACCAACAACAGUCUAGAGGAACAAACUUCCUGCAGAAAGGGCACACCUGGUUCUCUCUGUCCACCUGGAGCCACACUCCCUCAUUUUCCGAUGGAGAAGAAACCAAACUGGAAUUCAUCGCCCAGUAGGAACAGCUUCUGCAGGAGGCUUCUUCCCAUUGCACAAGAAGAGCAGCACAGCUCCUGGAGAAGCACAUUUCCAUGGCAGAGCUGCAAAUCCCUAUCUUCAGAGAGCCUCAGAGGCAGCAGAUAAGCCCAAAGAGCACCAACAGCAACAAGGAAACGUAUAAGCACAUCAUGGCUCACAGGAGAAACCCCUGCAGAUAAAAGACAGCAAAACAGAAUCUGAAGUAUGAGAGACGGGAGAGUUCACAGCAUGGAUCGCCAGU